GAACUAAAAAACUGGAAAGGUCAAAGACAAAGAGCUGGAUCCUCAUAUUACACUAUCUCACAACUGAACUCAUAAACAAACACAAACGUAAUCAAAUGAU